UUAAGCGACUAAGCGUACACGGUGGAUGCCCUGGCAGUCAGAGGCGAUGAAGGACGUGCUAAUCUGCGAAAAGCGUCGGUAAGGUGAUAUGAACCGUUAUAACCGGCGAUGUCCGAAUGGGGAAACCCAGUGCAAUUCGUUGCACUAUCGUUAACUGAAUACAUAGGUUAACGAGGCGAACCGGGGGAACUGAAACAUCUAAGUACCCCGAGGAAAAGAAAUCAACCGAGAUUCCCCCAGUAGCGGCGAGCGAACGGGGAGCAGCCCAGAGUCUGAAUCAGCUUGUGUGUUAGUGGAACGGUCUGGAAAGUCCGACGGUACAGGGUGAUAGUCCCGUACACCAAAAUGCACAGGCUGUGAACUCGAAGAGUAGGGCGGGACACGUGGUAUCCUGUCUGAAUAUGGGGGGACCAUCCUCCAAGGCUAAAUACUCCUGACUGACCGAUAGUGAACCAGUACCGUGAGGGAAAGGCGAAAAGAACCCCGGCGAGGGGAGUGAAAAAGAACCUGAAACCGUGUACGUACAAGCAGUGGGAGCACCUUCGGGUGUGACUGCGUACCUUUUGUAUAAUGGGUCAGCGACUUAUAUUCUGUAGCAAGGUUAACCGUAUAGGGGAGCCGCAGGGAAACCGAGUCUUAACUGGGCGUUAAGUUGCAGGGUAUAGACCCGAAACCCGGUGAUCUAGCCAUGGGCAGGUUGAAGGUUGGGUAACACUAACUGGAGGACCGAACCGACUAAUGUUGAAAAAUUAGCGGAUGACUUGUGGCUGGGGGUGAAAGGCCAAUCAAACCGGGAGAUAGCUGGUUCUCCCCGAAAGCUAUUUAGGUAGCGCCUCGUGAAUUCAUCUUCGGGGGUAGAGCACUGUUUCGGCUAGGGGGUCAUCCCGACUUACCAACCCGAUGCAAACUACGAAUACCGAAGAAUGUUAUCACGGGAGACACACGGCGGGUGCUAACGUCCGUCGUGAAGAGGGAAACAACCCAGACCGCCAGCUAAGGUCCCAAAGUCAUGGUUAAGUGGGAAACGAUGUGGGAAGGCACAGACAGCCAGGAUGUUGGCUUAGAAGCAGCCAUCAUUUAAAGAAAGCGUAAUAGCUCACUGGUCGAGUCGGCCUGCGCGGAAGAUGUAACGGGGCUAAACCAUGCACCGAAGCUGCGGCAGCGACACUAUGUGUUGUUGGGUAGGGGAGCGUUCUGUAAGCCUGCGAAGGUGACCUGUGAGGGUUGCUGGAGGUAUCAGAAGUGCGAAUGCUGACAUAAGUAACGAUAAAGCGGGUGAAAAGCCCGCUCGCCGGAAGACCAAGGGUUCCUGUCCAACGUUAAUCGGGGCAGGGUGAGUCGACCCCUAAGGCGAGGCCGAAAGGCGUAGUCGAUGGGAAACAGGUUAAUAUUCCUGUACUUGGUGUUACUGCGAAGGGGGGACGGAGAAGGCUAUGUUAGCCGGGCGACGGUUGUCCCGGUUUAAGCAUGUAGGCUGAUUAUCCAGGCAAAUCCGGAUAAUCAAGGCUGAGGUGUGAUGACGAGGCACUACGGUGCUGAAGUAACAAAUGCCCUGCUUCCAGGAAAAGCCUCUAAGCAUCAGGUAACAUCAAAUCGUACCCCAAACCGACACAGGUGGUCAGGUAGAGAAUACCAAGGCGCUUGAGAGAACUCGGGUGAAGGAACUAGGCAAAAUGGUGCCGUAACUUCGGGAGAAGGCACGCUGGUGUGUAGGUGAAGUCCCUGCGGAUGGAGCUGAGACCAGUCGAAGAUACCAGCUGGCUGCAACUGUUUAUUAAAAACACAGCACUGUGCAAACACGAAAGUGGACGUAUACGGUGUGACGCCUGCCCGGUGCCGGAAGGUUAAUUGAUGGGGUUAUCCGUAAGGAGAAGCUCUUGAUCGAAGCCCCGGUAAACGGCGGCCGUAACUAUAACGGUCCUAAGGUAGCGAAAUUCCUUGUCGGGUAAGUUCCGACCUGCACGAAUGGCGUAAUGAUGGCCAGGCUGUCUCCACCCGAGACUCAGUGAAAUUGAACUCGCUGUGAAGAUGCAGUGUACCCGCGGCAAGACGGAAAGACCCCGUGAACCUUUACUAUAGCUUGACACUGAACAUUGAGCCUUGAUGUGUAGGAUAGGUGGGAGGCUUUGAAGCGUGGACGCCAGUCUGCGUGGAGCCAACCUUGAAAUACCACCCUUUAAUGUUUGAUGUUCUAACGUGGGCCCCUAAUCGGGGUUGCGGACAGUGUCUGGUGGGUAGUUUGACUGGGGCGGUCUCCUCCCAAAGCGUAACGGAGGAGCACGAAGGUUAGCUAAUCCUGGUCGGACAUCAGGAGGUUAGUGCAAUGGCAUAAGCUAGCUUGACUGCGAGCGUGACGGCGCGAGCAGGUGCGAAAGCAGGUCAUAGUGAUCCGGUGGUUCUGAAUGGAAGGGCCAUCGCUCAACGGAUAAAAGGUACUCCGGGGAUAACAGGCUGAUACCGCCCAAGAGUUCAUAUCGACGGCGGUGUUUGGCACCUCGAUGUCGGCUCAUCACAUCCUGGGGCUGAAGUAGGUCCCAAGGGUAUGGCUGUUCGCCAUUUAAAGUGGUACGCGAGCUGGGUUUAGAACGUCGUGAGACAGUUCGGUCCCUAUCUGCCGUGGGCGCUGGAGAAUUGAGGGGGGCUGCUCCUAGUACGAGAGGACCGGAGUGGACGCAUCACUGGUGUUCGGGUUGUCAUGCCAAUGGCACUGCCCGGUAGCUAAAUGCGGAAGAGAUAAGUGCUGAAAGCAUCUAAGCACGAAACUUGCCCCGAGAUGAGUUCUCCCUGAGACUUUAAGUCUCCUGAAGGAACGUUGAAGACGACGACGUUGAUAGGCCGGGUGUGUAAGCGCAGCGAUGCGUUGAGCUAACCGGUACUAAUGAACCGUGAGGCUUAACCU
rnacentral:rRNA from 1 species